rnacentral:rRNA from 1 species
ACGGAAGGCAGCAGUAGGGAAUCUUCGGCAAUGGGGGCAACCCUGACCGAGCAACGCCGCGUGAGUGAAGAAGGUUUUCGGAUCGUAAAGCUCUGUUGUAAGAGAAGAACGUGUGUGAGAGUGGAAAGUUCACGCAGUGACGGUAACUUACCAGAAAGGGACGGCUAACUACGUGCCAGCAGCCGCGGUAAUACGUAGGUCCCGAGCGUUGUCCGGAUUUAUUGGGCGUAAAGCGAGCGCAGGCGGUUUAAUAAGUCUGAAGUUAAAGGCAGUGGCUUAACCAUUGUUCGCUUUGGAAACUGUUAGACUUGAGUGCAGAAGGGGAGAGUGGAAUUCCAUGUGUAGCGGUGAAAUGCGUAGAUAUAUGGAGGAACACCGGUGGCGAAAGCAGCUCUCUGGUCUGUAACUGACGCUGAGGCUCGAAAGCGUGGGGAGCAAACAGGAUUAGAUACCCUGGUA